GUCUAAGUACUAGCCAAAUUUUUAAAAAUGGUGAAACCGCGAAAGGCUCAUUAAAUCGGCUUUGGUUCCUUAGAUAGUAUGCAGAUCGAAUAUUUUUUCAAAAUUUUUGUGAUUUUGGAAAAAAUGAAAAUCUGAUAUGGAUAACUGUGGUAAUUCUAGAGCUAAUACAUGAAAAAUGAAAUUGAGUGCGAAACUUUGUAAAAAAAGUUUUGCACGCUUUUAUUAGAGGAAAAAGCCAAUUUUUAAAAAUGAAAAAAAAUUAUUUUUUUUUUCUGAAAUUUAAACCUAAUAUAAAAUGGUGUUGAAUCUGAAUAACUUGAAUGAAUUUCUUUUGAAAAAAUUUAUUUGUAUAAAUUUUUUUUAUUCUAUAAGGAAAAUUUUUAAGAAUAAAUUUGAUUAGAGAGAAAUUUAAAGCAGACCGCAAAUAAAAACUUUUUUUUUCGAAUCUUGAAUUUGAAGAAAAAUAGUAAUGCGGGCGUAUCUUUCAAUUGUCUGCCUUAUCAACUGUCGAUGGUAGAUUACAUGUCUACCAUGGUUGUAACGGGUAACGGGGAAUCAGGGUUCGAUUCCGGAGAGGGAGCCUGAGAAACGGCUACCACAUCUAAGGAAGGCAGCAGGCACGCAAAUUACCCACUCCCGGCACGGGGAGGUAGUGACAAUAAAUAACGAUCCGGAACUCUAAUGAGUUUCCGUAAUCGGAAUGAGUACAAUUUAAAUCCUUUAACGAGGAACAAAUGGAGGGCAAGUCUGGUGCCAGCAGCCGCGGUAAUUCCAGCUCCAUUAGCAUAUAUUAAAGUUGUUGCGUUUAAAAAGCUCGUAGUUGAAUCUGUAUCUCAUACUGUCAAUCGCUCGUAAUUUAAUUUAUCGUAGUUUGAUUUGACAUUGUGUAUGAGAUAUAAAUGCUGGUGGAUUUUUUUAAAAUCGAUUUCGUUAAAAAAAUUUUUUUUAAUUUUUUUUUUUUUGUUAUCGAUUCUAAAAUCCGAUACUGUUAAUUUGAAUUCUAAGAGGAAAUUAGUUUCUUAAUGAAAAAACAAUCGAAAAAAUUAUGUUUUAACAUUAGUUUUUUGUGUUGUUUUUCAUUUUAAAUGGGAAAUUAUUUUUUUUCUUUUCAAAUUAAUAAUGUAUUUUGAUGAAAUCUUUUCUAAUCGAAAAUUUUUUAUGAGACCAGUAAAAUUACUUUGAACAAAUUANAGUGCUUAAUGCAGGCAAAUUUAUAUGCCAUGAAUAAAACAGCAUGGAAUAAUAGAAUAUGAUCUCGAUACUGUUUUUUUUUUUUUUUUUUUUCAAAAGNNNGNGNUUUUUUUUUCUUUUGUCGAUAGANGAAAGGGNANCNAAACNCNNNCNAAAAAAAAAAAAAAGUUGGCUUAAAGAAAUAAAUAGUUAUGUAUAAAAUUGUUUCAUACUUAAAAUUCGAAAAAGUUUUUAAUCGAUAAAUUUUUUCCGGAAUUUUUCUUUUGUGAACAAAAUUUAUCGAACUUUUUUGAAUUUUGUAACAAUUUUACGUAUUUAUUUCGACAGUAU
rnacentral:rRNA from 1 species